GUGGGGAAUUUUGGACAAUGGGCGCAAGCCUGAUCCAGCAAUGCCGCGUGCAGGAAGAAGGCCUUCGGGUUGUAAACUGCUUUUGUACGGAACGAAAAGGCUCUGGCUAAUACCUGGAGCUCAUGACGGUACCGUAAGAAUAAGCACCGGCUAACUACGUGCCAGCAGCCGCGGUAAUACGUAGGGUGCGAGCGUUAAUCGGAAUUACUGGGCGUAAAGCGUGCGCAGGCGGUGCUGUAAGACAGGCGUGAAAUCCCCGGGCUCAACCUGGGAAUUGCGCUUGUGACUGCAGCGCUGGAGUGCGGCAGAGGGGGAUGGAAUUCCGCGUGUAGCAGUGAAAUGCGUAGAUAUGCGGAGGAACACCGAUGGCGAAGGCAAUCCCCUGGGCCUGCACUGACGCUCAUGCACGAAAGCGUGGGGAGCAAACAGGAUUAGAUACCCUUGUAGUCC
rnacentral:rRNA from 1 species